rnacentral:rRNA from 1 species
UUUAAGUCAGUUGUGAAAGUUUGCGGCUCAACCGUAAAAUUGCAGUUGAUACUGGAUAUCUUGAGUGCAGUUGAGGCAGGCGGAAUUCGUGGUGUAGCGGUGAAAUGCUUAGAUAUCACGAAGAACUCCGAUUGCGAAGGCAGCCUGCUAAGCUGCAACUGACAUUGAGGCUCGAAAGUGUGGGUAUCAAACAGGAUUAGAUACCCUGGUAGUCCACACGGUAAACGAUGAAUACUCGCUGUUUGCGAUAUACUGCAAGCGGCCAAGCGAAAGCGUUAAGUAUUCCACCUGGGGAGUACGCCGGCAACGGUGAAACUCAAAGGAAUUGACGGGGGCCCGCACAAGCGGAGGAACAUGUGGUUUAAUUCGAUGAUACGCGAGGAACCUUACCCGGGCUUAAAUUGCAGAUGAAUUACGGUGAAAGCCGUAAGCCGCAAGGCAUCUGUGAAGGUGCUGCAUGGUUGUCGUCAGCUCGUGCCGUGAGGUGUCGGCUUAAGUGCCAUAACGAGCGCAACCCUUGUUGUCAGUUACUAACAGGUUCCGCUGAGGACUCUGACAAGACUGCCAUCGUAAGAUGUGAGGAAGGUGGGGAUGACGUCAAAUCAGCACGGCCCUUACGUCCGGGGCUACACACGUGUUACAAUGGGGGGUACAGAGGGCCGCUACCACGCGAGUGGAUGCCAAUCCCCAAAACCUCUCUCAGUUCGGACUGGAGUCUGCAACCCGACUCCACGAAGCUGGAUUCGCUAGUAAUCGCGCAUCAGCCACGGCGCGGUGAAUACGUUCCCGGGCCUUGUACACACCGCCCGUCAAGCCAUGGGAGCCGGGGGUACCUGAAGUGCGUAAACGCGAGGAGCGCCCUAGGGUAAAACUGGUGACUGGC